UGCAGAAGUCUCCAGACAACAACAGCAGAGCAGUAAAUUCUGUCUCAUAUCCUUUGAAACCAUAAUGGACAAGAGUAGAAUUCCACUGUGCCAGUCCCCUUGUUGAUUCAGUCUGCUUCCUUCUAUUAUUUAACAGGAAACCCCAGGACAAUCAACACAUGGAGAGCAAAUGCUCCUCUCCUUCCCCUCUCAUUUUUUACUUUUUCUCAUCACAGAAUGAACAGGAGAACAAAGUGGAAGGCACCAUGCCAGCUUUAAACAUUCUGAUACUUUUAUGGAUGUGUGACUGUGUUCUUCUUCAAGGUUCUGAGACCAUGGAAAAUGAAAACAUCACUCCUCUACCCAUGACUGGUCUAUUUAAAUCAGUGACUCCUACAGAAACAUCCCAGGAUGCAAAGACGGAAUUCUUAUCUGCACCUUCCCCUACAGAAGAGAAAUCGGCAGCACUAUCGGUAGCAGCAUCUGGUGUUAUCAGCUUCAUUGUCAUUUUGGUGGUGAUUGUGAUCAUCCUGGUCUGUGUGGUCAGCCUAAGAUUCAGGUGCCGUCACUGCAAAGAUGCAGAAGCAGAUAAACAGAAACCUCAACACCCAAUAGUAACUUACAGCUGCUCUGAUGCUGAAAAUGCAGCUGAUAUGAAGAAUGUCUUAUUGGUCUCCAUGAAGGACUUAAACACAAGCACUAGCGAAGAUGGUAUGAAACCAAUGGUCAGCUGUGAAGAAUGAGAAAACACUGUAAUACUGCAAUGUUUUUAGUCAUAGUGGGUGGAUUAGUAAGGUGUUUAAUUAGUUUCCUUCUGGGACAUCAAACAUAUGAAGCUGCCUUAUAAAUUAGCCCAUAGGUUGAUCUAAAUCAUUACUGUUUACUCUGCCUGGCAGUGGUCUCCAGGAUGUAAGGCAGAGGUUUUUUCCUAGCCUUUUCUACCUGAAGAUACCAAAAGUUAAGAUGCACCUUACUUCUGCAAAAAAAU